rnacentral:rRNA from 1 species
AUGGCUCUUUUGACGGUAGAGGUGACUUGGUUACGAUGGUUACUUCAGAAGUUUGGUAUUUCUGUCAAUACACCAACUUUGCUCUUAUUUGACAAUACAGGUGCUCAUAGUGUUGCGCGCGACCCAGCGAAAAAUGAGCUCACCAAGCAUAUUGGUGUUGAUGCUUUUUUGUGUGUGCUAGUGUGCAAAAUUCAGGUUAUUGCUCCUCAGUAUGUGCCUUCGGAGUUACUGUUGGCAGAUUUCUUUAGGAAGGCCCAAAAUAGAGCACAACACGACUUCUAUAUCUAUCUCUCCAAGCUCGGUGUUGUUGAUCCACCAUGA